AGUGUUUUGAUACGUUGUCUACGAGAAACCAGGCGACGUUUUAUCUCGUAAAUAUGUGUUGCGUGCUUCUCGGUAUUAUUCGGCCAAGAUACAUGGUGUGCGCACGUAGAAUGAAGCUUCGAACUUGUACGAAUGAGGGAGCGCAAGAGGAAACGAAAGAAAGCAUAAGUGAGUGAGCGAGUGAGCUAAUAGAAAGAUAGAAAGAGAGAGUGAGAAAGGGAGGAAUGAUGUGCGUGCGUGCUUGUGUGUGCGUUCGCGAGCGUGCGUGAGUUAGAGCAGGAAUAUUAAAAGACGACGCUGGCUGUAGGUGAUUUCUCGAUCGAUGUGCGACGAUUCGUGUGAUUGGUGAACAGGAAUGAAAAAGAACGGUGUUGCCGUUUAUAAUCUAUCGAAGGGACACGUAUUUUGAACGGCAUUUGUAAAAACACGUGCAUGUCCUACUCGUGGUUCGUCGUUUCGAUCGUCUAGUGUGUUAUUGAUAAAAAGGAACAACAAGGUGAUCGAAGAGUAUAUGUAUACGUACGGUGAUACGAAACGGGGAAACAGUGGAGUAAAAGAGCGAAAGCUCGUAGUGAAAACAAAUCGAAAAGACAGGAUACGAACACGACUAGCAAGAAGAACAAACACGGUAAAAACAGUGUCAAACGGUUCCCGCGACCAGAGUUCCUUCGUUUCGUCGUGUCGAUAUUAUCGGUGAUCGUGGAUGAACGUUCGUUUUUAGCGUCCCCGAGGUCGACGUAACGGCGACCGAUCGAAGAAAAAUUUGGAAUGUAACGCCGGCAAGACAGAGGCAACGGUAGUGGCAGUAGUGGAUCCGCGGCUACGACAACGGCAACGACGGCGACAGGGCGACCGGACGGGUGGAGUGUGCAGCAAGAGGGAGAGAGCACGGAGGAUCACUCUCGCUUUCGUUCGGCUCUCCCUCUCUAUCCUUUCUUCUCUCCUCUGUCCCUCUCUCCCUCCCUCUCUUUCUGCUUCUCUCCUUUCUCCCUUGCUCGCGUGGCGGCUGCUGCUGCUACUCGUCGACUAGUAGGAGAACGGAGAGAGAGAGAGAAUACAAGAAAGAGAGCGAGAGAGCGCCGGAGGAAGAGAAGCGUCGCGCGGAAGACAGAGCUAGACGUGUGCUGGUCGAAAGACAAAGAGAGAAACAGCUCGUCCAACCGAAGAAACCGAAGAGAAGGAGAAGGAGAAGGAUCGUACAAAUCAACCGCCUUCUAACAAGCCACAUUAACCUCAAGUGAUUUCUAUUUUCUUACGAAGCGCGAAAGAAGUAAUUAGUGUGUUUAUAUCGAUGUAAAACAAAGAGAGAAAGAGAGAGAGAGAGAGAAAGAGAGAGAAAGAAAGAGAGAGAGAGAGAGAGAGAGAAAGAAACGAGAAAAAAAAGAAGAAAAAUUAUUUCAAGAGCUUAAGUUCAGAGGAAAACAAAACAUUAAGAGCUAUAGUAUCUAAUUAGUGUACAAAGUAUAUCUGAAACAAAAUAAAGAAA